rnacentral:rRNA from 1 species
GACGAACGCUGGCGGCGUGCUUAACACAUGCAAGUCGAACGGUAAGGCCCCAGCUUGCUGGGGUACACGAGUGGCGAACGGGUGAGUAACACGUGGGUGACCUGCCCCGCACUUCGGGAUAAGCCUGGGAAACUGGGUCUAAUACCGGAUAGGACCGCACCGUGAGGGGGUGGUGGAAAGUUUUUCGGUGGGGGAUGGGCCCGCGGCCUAUCAGCUUGUUGGUGGGGUAAUGGCCUACCAAGGCGGCGACGGGUAGCCGGCCUGAGAGGGUGGACGGCCACAUUGGGACUGAGACACGGCCCAGACUCCUACGGGAGGCAGCAGUGGGGAAUAUUGCACAAUGGGCGGAAGCCUGAUGCAGCGACGCCGCGUGGGGGAUGACGGCCUUCGGGUUGUAAACUCCUUUCACCAUCGACGAAGGUUUUCUGACGGUAGAUGGAGAAGAAGCACCGGCUAACUACGUG